ACUCAAAGGAAUUGACGGGGGUCCGCACAAGCGGUGGAACAUGUGGUUUAAUUCGACACUACGCGAGAAACCUUACCUAGGCUUGACAUGUAUAUGCUGUUCUAUGAAAGUAGGAGUUCCAAGCUUGCUUGGACAUAUACACAGGUGCUGCAUGGCUGUCGUCAGCUCGUGUCGUGAGAUGUUGGGUUAAGUCCUUUAACGAGCGCAACCCCUGCUGUCAGUUGCUAGUCCUUCGGGGCGCACUCUGGCAGGACUGCCUGGGAAACCAGGAGGAAGGUGGGGAUGACGUCAAGUCCUCAUGGCCCUUAUGUCUAGGGCUACACACGUGUUACAAUGGCUGGUACAAAGAGCAGCAAACUCGCGAGGGUAAGCUAAUCUCAUAAAGCCAGUCUAAGUUCGGAUUGAAGUCUGCAACUCGACUUCAUGAAGUUGAAAUCGCUAGUAAUCGCGCAUCAGAACGGCGCGGUGAAUACGUUCUCGGACCUUGUACACACCGCCCGU
rnacentral:rRNA from 1 species